rnacentral:rRNA from 1 species
CACGUAGGGUGCGAGCGUUGUCCGGAAUUAUUGGGCGUAAAGAGCUCGUAGGCGGUGUGUCGCGUCGGCCGUGAAAACUUGGGGCUUAACUCUGAGCGUGCGGUCGAUACGGGCAUCACUUGAGUUCGGCAGGGGAGACUGGAAUUCCUGGUGUAGCGGUGAAAUGCGCAGAUAUCAGGAGGAACACCCGUGGCGAAGGCGGCUCUCUGGGACGG